GCGCACGGGGGCAAACCUUGGUGGCGAGUGGCGAACGGGUGAGUAAUACAUCGGAACGUGUCCUGUAGUGGGGGAUAGCCCGGCGAAAGCCGGAUUAAUACCGCAUACGCUCUGCGGAGGAAAGCGGGGGAUCCUUCGGGACCUCGCGCUACAGGGGCGGCCGAUGGCAGAUUAGCUAGUUGGUGGGGUAAAGGCCUACCAAGGCGACGAUCUGUAGCUGGUCUGAGAGGANGACCAGCCACACUGGGACUGAGACACGGCCCAGACUCCUACGGGAGGCAGCAGUGGGGAAUUUUGGACAAUGGGCGCAAGCCUGAUCCAGCAAUGCCGCGUGUGUGAAGAAGGCCUUCGGGUUGUAAAGCACUUUUGUCUUGAA
rnacentral:rRNA from 1 species